UACGUAGGGGGCAAGCGUUGUCCGGAAUCAUUGGGCGUAAAGAGCGUGUAGGCGGCUUGGUAAGUCCGCUGUGAAAGUCCAGGGCUCAACCCUGGAAUGCCAGUGGAUACUGUCAAGCUAGAGUCCGGAAGAGGCGAGUGGAAUUCCUGGUGUAGCGGUGAAAUGCGCAGAUAUCAGGAGGAACACCAAUGGCGAAGGCAGCUCGCUGGGACGGUACUGACGCUGAGACGCGAAAGCGUGGGGAGCAAACAGG
rnacentral:rRNA from 1 species